CAUACACUCACCAAACAGGGUUACAUAAAACAAAGCUAGACAAGAGUACAAUGGAACAUGAGGGCUAUUUAUACAGGGAGACUAAUGACAAAACAAGGAACACCUGUGAACAAACAAGACAGAGGACCAAUGGCAAGACAGAACUGAGAUCAUAUGACAAUGACAACCAAUCAGAACAUGACACAUGAGACAGGGGAAGCACAUGACAUGAACACAUGAGGGCAAUGGAAAUCACAUGACACAAAACAUGGCAAACGAGGAAAACAAACAAAGCAAUGAAACAAAGCAUGACUACAAAAACAAACCAUAAACCGUGAACAUAAAACAAAACCAAAACAAGACAUGACAUGACAUUACACCGUAGAAAUGCAAAUUCUGCAUAUGGGAAUUUUUUUUCCUCAAAAGGAGCUUAAAGGUCCACGCUUGUCAACCUUCGGAAAUAAAUAGUAUUUUAAAUAGAUGAAUCUAAAUUUUGAGCAAAAAGCGUUCCCCCCAUGGCCCUCUGCGGACAGUGGUCUCUACCCAUGCGAUAUCUGGACUCUAGCAGCUGUUAAGAUCCACUGCCAGAAAAGCCUCCUCAUCCCCCACGUUGUCAAGGCCGCAACGAGCAUAUAAGGACCAGCGGAGGACCAGCUGUGACUGAGAGCCCUGUGACCUGCAGCUCCCACCACGAGCUGAACCGACAAACCCUUUCCAAACUCUGCUUCAAGACCGUUUCGUCUGCCUCAGAGAGCACUUGGCUUUCACGCCCAUCAUUUUAUGUUGGCUGAAGCUGACGACACAAUAUUCAGCAAUGAACGGUGAAUAUAUUGCAAAUGACCAGGAGCUGGAAGUGGGAGCUAAAAAGUGGGCCGCACAUCCUCAGCCUUGAGGGGGGUGUAGCUGUGAAGGCCAGAUAUGAGAGGGGCUCAUCUGCAAAACAGAGGAGGAGGGGGAGGGAGACGCGGAAGAGGGAUGUCGUUUGGCCGUAGCUUGUCGAUUGGCCUUGAGAAACGAUUUACAUGCCCUGCACCCCCGACCACUGAUGCAAAUGCUGACAACCAAGAAUCAGCCUAUGAUAACCCACACAGGACAUGGUCAGAGAGGUCAGAGCUGAAAAACUCUUGCUCUCGCCACAACUGCGCUUUUUGUUGAGUAUCAUAUUUGAUAAUUCAGGCUUUUAUGGCGCAUAUAGCAUGACAUAGUGAGAAUAUGGAGGAAAAAACAGCUCAAUUUUAUUCCAAACAAGCAAAAAUAUGCAAUUUGGUGCAGAUGCUGAUAUUUGGACAAAAAGUGAGAUGAAAUUAUAAUAGCUUUUAAUGUAAAUAAAUUAGAUCUUUAUAACAGACUACUUACAUAAAAUGUAGAUAAAUAUCAGUCAUCACUCUAUAU